rnacentral:tRNA from 1 species
GGACUGUGUGGCUCAAUGGUGGAGUAUCCGCCUGGUAUGCAGAAGGGCCCAAGUUCAACCCUUGGCAUUUCCA